GAUGAACGCUGGCGGCGUGCCUAAUACAUGCAAGUCGAGCGAACAGACGAGGAGCUUGCUCCUCUGACGUUAGCGGCGGACGGGUGAGUAACACGUGGAUAACCUACCUAUAAGACUGGGAUAACUUCGGGAAACCGGCGCUAAUACCGGAUAAUAUAUUGAACCGCAUGGUUCAAUAGUGAAAGACGGUUUUGCUGUCACUUAUAGAUGGAUCCGCGCCGCAUUAGCUAGUUGGUAGGGUAACGGCUUACCAAGGCGACGAUGGGUAGCCGGCCUGAGAGGGGGGACGGCGACAAUGGGACUGAGAUACGGACCAGACGACUACGGGAGGCAGCAGUGGGGAAGAUGGCACAAUGGGCGCAAGCCGGAGGCAGCGAAGAAGCGUGGGGGAUGACGGCCUUCGGGUGGUAAACACCUUUCGCUAGGGACGAAGCGCAAGUGACGGUACCUGGAGAAGAAGCACCGGCUAACUACGUG
rnacentral:rRNA from 1 species